rnacentral:rRNA from 1 species
UACGAAGGGGGCUAGCGUUGUUCGGAAUUACUGGGCGUAAAGGGCGCGUAGGCGGUUAUGUAAGUCAGAAGUGAAAGCCCCGGGCUCAACCUGGGAAUUGCUUUUGAGACUGCAUAGCUUGAGUACAGGAGAGGUGAGUGGAAUUCCAAGUGUAGAGGUGAAAUUCGUAGAUAUUUGGAAGAACACCAGUGGCGAAGGCGACUCACUGGACUGUAACUGACGCUGAGGCGCGAAAGCGUGGGGAGCAAACAGG